AAAAGAUGCAGACGUUUUUCUUGCACGUGAUUUCCAAGCAGACGUUUAUAGCACAUUUUUGUUUUGUGUGAAAAGUUUAAACUCGGUUGUUGACCGGCUAAAUUAAAUGAAGUCUAUUUUUAUGUAAAUUAACGCUAUGGUGCUGAAUUUCACUUACAGUACCAGGCCAACUUUAACAUGGGGAUCUUUUGCCAUCAGAUUGCCGUAUUUGAAAGUUACUGGUAUAUCACUUUCCAGACCACAAAAGGUGGUUUUGAUAUCGUUGACUGUGGGCGUGGGUUUGGUGGCUGUCCUAUCUCGCUAUUUGAGAAGGAGGAAAAGAAUCAGACCCGCCCAGCCCUCAAGACUGGAUGCUGCUACAUUGAAUCGUAGGCUUCGCUCUGGCUUCAGGAGUCCCAAUGGAGACUUCCUGUCGGAAUUCCAAAGCACCAGCCCUGUUCCCCAGAGAAUACAUCGCACGAGAUCUGCAUCGGUAAACAGCGACCGCUACUCUGUCUCCGAAGGGGCCGACUCCAAAUCAACCCCUCAGCUCCUGGGAACAAUGGGGGUCGAAUCACUGGAAACGGCCAUCAAUUACUGGGAGGAUGCCCUGGCCGCUUAUCAGUCAGUGUCGACGGGAUCGGGUGCCGUUCUGCUGACGUCCGAAGAAGCGGAAUUCUGCCGCAGUUUGGAACGAGUUCUCAAGGCCGCCUAUGUCCUUCAAGACGAGACGGAACACCUCUUCCUGCACGAGCACUCUGUCCUGUUUCAAACGGAAGCGGCGGGCGGCUACACUUCCGGCGCCCAGACGCCCUACUCGCGCACGUCGUACAGUUUCACUUCGGCCGACUCGUUUGUUUCGGCCCUGGGCGGCGAUGACGAAGUGGCCGAUUUGGAGGACUUUGCCGACUUGCCCAUCGACGAUAGUUUGCCCAGUCUCUACCAGGGGUCGAUGAAGCAGCUGGACGAGAGUGGCAUACCCUGCCGGGUGCUCCGGACGGAGCUGGUCGGCUGCCAAUCCGACAUCGAGUACCUGUGCAAAUUGCACUGCAUCCGGCUGGCCUGCCAGGGCGUCUUCCACUUGGCCGGAGCCGAGCAGUGGUUCAUCAAGGCCGGCCGCUCUCUGCUGACGGACAUGCUGACGCUGGCCGACAAGGACCCGCGCGACGUCCUCGAAGCCUACGACGCCAUGAUGGUUUUCGUCCAGGACCAGAGCCAGCGCUUCAAGUUGGCCGCCGAAAUGGAGCACAGAGGCGUCAAGGCCGUCACCUUCUUUGACGUCGUUUUGGAUUUCAUUCUCAUGGACGCCUUUGAGGAUCUGACGGACCCGCCCUCUUCCGUUUUGGCCGUCAUCAAUAACCGAUGGCUCAGCAACGGCUUCAAAGAAGGCGCUUUGGCGACAGCAGUGUGGAGCGUGCUGAAGGCCAAACGGCGGAAGCUGCUCUACCAGGACGGCUUCAUCUCACAUUUUUACGGCAUCAUGGAACACUUGAGCCCCGUUUUGGCUUGGGGCUUCCUGGGACCCGAAUCCGACUUGAAGAAAUCCUGUUUCAUCUUCAAAGGACAUGUCGAGGGCUACCUGCAGGACAUCUUUGAUUUCGAUCGCGUUCGCUACGUCACCGUUGAAGACAUGGCCGAAGAUGUUUGGGCCCUGGCCAGGCAACGCAUCGACGCCGUCAACCGGCAAAUGCCGCGCAGAUGACCGCAGCCGGAAUCGACACACAAUUUUUCCAAUUCAACAAAACCCCCACGCUACUUUUUCACAGAGAAAAAGCAAAGCAAUAAAGCAAAAAAAGAGAUUUUUUUUUAACACGUUAGAAUCAACUGAUGCCAUUAUAUUUAAUGGCCAUCCCUAGAAGUCUCAAAUGUCGACAACUAAGAAAAAAAAACGAUUUUCUGCGAAAAAAAUAUAGUCACCGAUUUGCAAUCAAUCUAAAAUUUUAAAAAGUUUGAAAUUCAACUCGUGUUAAUUGCGGUGCCUAGAUGGCGUUAGGUGUCGACCCGCUUUUGUUUUGACUAAAAAAAAAAUUAUGAUGGGGAGGGGGGGGGGAAUGGUUAACUUAUAUAAUAACACAGCCGGCGUGUGUUAGUCUUGAACUUGAACACGCUCUCUAGUUGAUUGACGCACACGAGAUUACCAUUUAUUUAUUUUUUAUUUUUAUUUUAAACGACUUUUUAUAUUCGUUCAUUUGAUUUUUGAUUUUUUUUUCUUUUAGAAUAUACGCGGGACGGACUGGAUGAUGGAUGACUAUGUCUUCCGGACAGGACAUUUCGUUCCGUUGUCUUGAGAGUGUUCAUUCAAAUCGUUAGGGGGUUGAGAGUUAAUUUGGUUCUUUUUGAGUAGUCGUGUGAUUUCUUUAGCUAUGGGGAGGGGGGGGGGAUAAAGGAAAAAGUUUCCCGCAGGAAUAUACAGGAUGUGUCAAACGCGGCUGAGCAAUCCCUAAAGAAGUUGAUCGUGACGAAAGGAUAUCAAGGAACACACGGAAUGUAUCCAGCCUUCCGGCACUUGUUGUUGGAAAAAGUCUCCUUGGCUGAGGGUCAGACGGUUGGACGUCACGCGCUCGGACUUGAACUCGGCCGUCGGUAAUUGAGGCGCGUGCCUCUCAUACCUGAAGAGACCCAUAACCAUUUACCUCCUGGACCCUGGACUUUAGCUGGGCUACUCCCGUGCAUAAUUCGCCAAUUUGCCAGAGAAUUGUUGAGGACGACGUACACGGGCUGGUACACAUCACGCCCUUUUUUUUUAUUUUUAUUUUAAUCCAUCCUUCCAUCUAUCUCCAGCCGGGGGAGAAAAAUGGCGUCUAUCGUUCAAACCCAAUGGCGAAGGAAGGCCUUCCAUCAUCACGAAAUGUGAAAUGAAAAAACGACCCAACAGAAAAAUGUGUGGCGUAAUAAAAAGGGAGGGGCUGGCGGCCGCACUAGACUCCUUGAUGGAUGGGUAUUAUCGUUCGUAUACUCUCUCUACCCCCACCCGGAGCUGUUUGUCCGAAAUCAACAAGGUAUUGUACUGGCGGAGGGGGUGAACUUCCCAUCUUUGACGUCACAGCUGCGGACCUUCACUUGCACUCCACCACCAUCCUGUCAAAAGUUAUUUAUUUGUGAAACUUGAGCUAGAGUUACUCCGGUCGAGUCCUUUUGGCGUGCCGGAUGGACAUUAGUCGAAUUGAACUUGAAGAGGCCUAGAAGCUAAUCAUACUCUGGGCUGGGGGGGGGGGGGGUUCGUUCGGUUUAUUUGGAUUAUAUUUAUUUGCAAUCGAAUUUCUCGUGACUUGACUGGUCGGCCUGGCCAAAGGAAAACUCCGGUCCGGGUUUGUCGAAAUUUCCGAUCGAGUGAUGUUUUCGUCCAGGAGGUUGUUUCUUUUAUGAUUUGAUGGGAUGCACGAUGACGUCGUCGACGUCGGGAGGAGUUUUAAAGAGAUCGGUAUACUGUCGUCGUCGUCGUGAAAAGUUUUGAAAAUCCACCGGCCGCCGCCGCCGCCGCCGAACGAUGGAGAAAGAAAAGUUUGGCGCCUGGUGUUGGGGCGCAAUCGCGAAACGGCCACGUCC